rnacentral:sRNA from 1 species
CCCCAUCUAGUAUGUGGAAGAGGGCCGAUUCUGAUUUCAGGUUGGUGGGAUCACGGCUCACGGCUUGAACUUGGCGUUGGCCAGCAACGGGAACGCAUAGGGCUGACGGGUCAUUUGUUGUUGUCUCGUUAGCGCCGGGUUUCGGGGAGGACAGUCAUGAAGCCAAGUUCUGCGUUGUGGUUCCCAAACCCCUUUUUGAAUCCCUUUCUGCUUUUAUUUCAGUUCGCUUCCCCUUUCUUUUUCCAACCCCAAGAAGCGAUGACAUAUUUACUACGGAGUACUUGUGUCAUCCUUGCCAACCCAUGACUACGUAGUGCUCCUUGUUCCCCCUGACCGCUCCCAUUCUAUUGUCCCCGAAUCGCACCCUUUCGUCUCCCUUCUUCCCAGCUUUUCCUUUAUUAUCCUAUCAAUCCCCCCCCAUUUUUUUUUCAACCAGAUUCUAACCCUUCAAGAAGGCUGUGAUGACCCCUGCCCCACAUUUUUUUCUUUUUCUUUUUCUUUUUCUUUUUUUUUUUUCUUUAAACACUCUAUCACAAAACACAUUCCUUCAUUUGUAUCGGAGAACGGGACUUCAACGUCAACGAGAUAUUUAACGAGUCUAUUGUCAGGACCUCCGCUUUACUCAAAUAGCAAUACAAUUAUCCACAGCCUUCUACCACUAUGAGUAUUCCUCUACUAAUUCGCCUGUCGAUUAUUAUAUAUUGAUAUUGAGAUAACCACGUCC